UGUUUAUGCCGGAAGGACAGUUCGUGCAGUCGAUGCCGCCGGACCUGACACGAAGGAGCGUUUGCCGAGUAUGUCUCGAAAGGGAUCUCACGAUUUCGUGAGACGGAGGCAUCUCUGCACCACAUGGGAGCCUGUGGCAAAAUGCAGUCUGAGCAGCCCGACAAGGAAUCUGAUCUGCUUGCUCUGACAAGGUAUGGCUGGGCCUGCAGAGAAAGUGUAAGCAGACUGUGCUGUGUUGCUGAUCAGUGCUGAUCUCCACACCUGAGUUGGUCCCACAACAUCCAGGCACCAGCGUGCUUUGCUUCAUCAUUGACAAGGUGCGCGGCAAGCUCUCACUCAAGC